UACGGGGGGGGCAAGCGUUGUUCGGAAUUACUGGGCGUAAAGGGCGCGUAGGCGGUUUGCUAAGUUGAAUGUGAAAACUCUGGGCUUAACCCAGAGCCUGCAUUCAAUACUGGCAGGCUAGAGUUCUGGAGGGGAUAGCGGAAUUCCUGGUGUAGCGGUGAAAUGCGUAGAUAUCAGGAGGAACACCCGUGGCGAAGGCGGCUCUCUGGCCUGUAACUGACGCUGAGGCGCGAAAGCGUGGGGAGCAAACAGG
rnacentral:rRNA from 1 species